AUUGAACGCUGGCGGCAGGCUUAACACAUGCAAGUCGAGCGGUAGCACAGGGGAGCUUGCUCCCUGGGUGACGAGCGGCGGACGGGUGAGUAAUGUCUGGGAAACUGCCUGAUGGAGGGGGAUAACUACUGGAAACGGUAGCUAAUACCGCAUAACGUCGCAAGACCAAAGAGGGGGACCUUCGGGCCUCUUGCCAUCAGAUGUGCCCAGAUGGGAUUAGCUAGUUGGGGGGGUAAUGGCCCACCUAGGCGACGAUCUGUAGCUGGUCUGAGAGGAUGAACAGCCACACUGGGACUGAGACACGGCCCAGACUCCUACGGGAGGCAGCAGUGGGGAAUUUUUGACAAUGGGGGCAACCCUGAUCCAGCCAUUCCGCGUGAGUGAAGAAGGCCUUCGGGUUGUAAAGCUCUUUCGGCAGGAACGAAACGGUGGGCUCUAACAUAGUCCGCUAAUGACGGUACCUGAAGAAGAAGCACCGGCUAACUACGUG
rnacentral:rRNA from 1 species